rnacentral:rRNA from 1 species
AACGAACGCUGGCGGCAUGCCUAACACAUGCAAGUCGAACGAGACCUUCGGGUCUAGUGGCGCACGGGUGCGUAACGCGUGGGAACCUGCCCUUAGGUUCGGAAUAACUCCCCGAAAGGGGUGCUAAUACCGGAUAAUGUCUUCGGACCAAAGAUUUAUCGCCUUUGGAUGGGCCCGCGUUGGAUUAGCUAGUUGGUAGGGUAAAAGCCUACCAAGGCGACGAUCCAUAGCUGGUCUGAGAGGAUGAUCAGCCACACUGGGACUGAGACACGGCCCAGACUCCUACGGGAGGCAGCAGUGGGGAAUAUUGGACACUGGGCGAAAGCCUGAUCCAGCAAUGCCGCGUGAGUGAUGAAGGCCUUAGGGUUGUAAAGCUCUUUUACCCGGGAUGAUAAGGACAGUACCGGGAGAAUAAGCUCCGGCUAACUCCGU